GGCAAUCACAAUAAUAGCAGCAGCAGAACAUUUUUACAAGAAAAUUGUAAGUAUGUUGAGGGAAGUGUACAAAAAUUUUCACCAAAAUUCGUUACCUUGGGAGCUAUUUGGAGUAACAGCAUCUUUACCCAAAUCUAUCCAGCUUACAUACUAUUGAGUCUCCUAGAAUGAAAACUAACUCAUCUCUGAAUUUUCUAACUGC
rnacentral:lncRNA from 1 species